GAUGUUUGGUUAAAAUACUUAAAUGUUAUAUUUAUAUAGGUGAGUUGUUUUGUGUCAUUAAAGGGUGAAAUCAAUUUUUUGUUGAAUAAAUAAAUUCGUCUAAUAUAAUUUAGUUGAGGUUGUUAAAGUUAGGGCAUGAACCAGGAUUAGAGACCCUGUUACACCUAAUUUUAAGUUCAAAUACCUGGGUAGUAAACAGUUAUAGUCUUGAAACUUAAAGGAUUUGGCGGUAAUUUAGUCUAGUUAGAGGAACCUGUCCUGUAAUCGAUAGUCCACGAAAAAUCUUACUUUACUUUGAGAUAUUCAGUUUAUAUACCGUCAUUAUUAGGCAACUUUAAUUAAAAAUAGAAGUUGCUGCAAUAGUUUUUAAUUAGUAUAUUAGAUCAAGGUGUAGCCUAUAGUAAAGUAGAGAUGGGUUACAAUAAUAUUAGUUUAAUAAAACGAACCUAAAAUAGAAAAGUUUUAGUGAAGGAGGAUUUAAAUGUAAAAAUAUUUUAACAUGGUAUUUUGAUUGUAGCUCUAGGUUAUGUACACAUCGCCCGUCGCUCU
rnacentral:rRNA from 1 species